rnacentral:rRNA from 1 species
UACGUAGGGGCCUAGCGUUGUCCGGAUUUAUUGGGCGUAAAGAGCUCGUAGGCGGUUCGGCAAGUCGGAUGUGAAAUCCCUCGGCUUAACCGGGGAACUGCGUCCGAUACUGGAUGACUUGAGUUCGGGAGAGGGAUGCGGAAUUCCAGGUGUAGCGGUGAAAUGCGUAGAUAUCUGGAGGAACACCGGUGGCGAAGGCGGCAUCCUGGACCGACACUGACGCUGAGGAGCGAAAGCCAGGGGAGCAAACGGG